rnacentral:rRNA from 1 species
GACGACCGCUGGCGGCGUGCUUAACACAUGCAAGUCGAGCGGAGCGGCGAACGGGUGAGUAACGAGUGAGUAAAUGCACACCUCUCUGGGCUAAAAGUUAGAAACGGCUGCAAAUACCGGAUAGUGGGGGGGGACUCGCGUCCUAUCAGCUUGUUGGUGGGGUAGUGGCCUACCAAGGCGCAGACUGGGAGCCGGCCUGAGAGGGCGACAGGCCAACUUGGUCUGAUAUACUGCCCGAACUCAGACGUGAGGCAGCAGUGGGGAAUAUUGCACAAUGGGGGAAACCCUUAUGCAGCAACGCCGCGUGCGGGAUGACGGCCUUCGGGUUGUAACCCGCCUUCAGCCAGGACGCGGUAGUUGCAGAAGAUGCACCGGCUAACUACGAGCCAGCAGCCGCGGUAAUUC